CACAGUGAUGACAGCUUUUGUGUCCUAGUGGCUCUGAGGACUCUCUCCCAACGUCCUGAGCGGUGUCACAGCGCCGUGAACCUCCCUGGCGGUAUCCGUCGGAUGACCCGUGACCCGUCUGCCUCCAGGAGUUCCAGAGGUGGCGGCGGGGCCGAUCCCAGGCCGCACAGUGCACGGCUCACCCCCGCGGGACCGGACGUGACGAGAACAAACUAGCAGACGAGCUGACUGGACUGGGGGCACCAUGGUUCCCGUUUUAUAUGGAUGAAGAUUUAAAUGGAUCUUGCCUCGCAACUUGGCCUACGGAGUACUGCAACAUGUCGACUUUGGUCGACUCGUGGGAUCGUCAUGCUGCAGCUGCCCGCAACCAUCUCAUCAUACGUUGCCAACUGACGGAGCCGUAGCCACAAGCCUGGUGAAAUUUCUGCCUCCGCUGUUGGACUUGCCUGCGGUCUCUUCGGGGUGAUAAGGGCGGUGUUUCACGGGACGCUGCUACCACGCUGCUCUCAAAUUGCGCGAGCUGACGUCACACUUGUGGUAGUGUUGGAGCAAUGGGCCUGUUGAUGUUUCCAUGGAAACCCAAUUUGACACGUGUAAAAGCAGCGUGCUGCUAUCACCGGUGAAACAGGGCCAAGGUCAGGAAUCGCCGGACAUCAAUAGAAUCGUUCAGCGAACAUCGCAUGGGCACUGGGCAGGCCGCGCUGCAGGGAGUCGUCAGCAAGUCGCAAAUGUGCCGACGUCAUCAUGCGGAUACGCCAGAUCGGAUGGCGGCUGCUGAGUAACAUUGCAGACGGGACCGAAGCACCAUUAGCCACUGACUAAAAGAUGCCUCGAGUGGGGCUCCGGGCGUACCCCGUACCAGCGCAUGAAAUCAACGUUCGGUUCCCUUCUGGACGAUCACGGCAGUGGACGGUUAGGUAGCGGAAACCCGCAGUCGAGCUGACAAGGAGCAACACCGAUUGGUGUCUGAAGUGAGCGAUCAGAGAAAUCACGCAAACUGAGACCCGGGCGUCCGGCUGUGACAGCCCCUGUGAUGAAGGGGCGCUGUUCUUCUCCAGCUUCUGCGCGUGCCACCCUGAUGGAUGAUGACUCAGGAAGAUCGCCGACCAUCGGAGAGGGGCUUCGGCUACACCUACAACGGCGCAGCACGACGGCCUACAAACGCCCAACGGCACCCUCAGCUCAGCCGCGGCGGCCAGUAGGCUUUAUCUGGAUGGCGUCUGCAACUCCUCACGCCGGUCGGUGCAGCUGUCCGCGCUGCCGUCCCAGGAUUUUUCGAAAUGCGAAGCUCGAGGACAUGAAACUUCUACCGAAUUUAAAGGACGUGGUCCGGUGGCGGCCGUCGGCCCGAGUCCCUCUCCCGACACGGCCCCAGGAGCGGCCGCACUAUUGGCCGUUGUGCAUUCGCGGAUGCUCUUGGCAGGCGCCAUGGAAAUUGAAAGGACGUGGUCCGGUGGCGGCUGUCGGCCAGAGUCCCUCUCCCGACACGGCUCUACGAAAUCGCGCCAGACUCAUUAUUUCUGUGAAGUGGACUGACUCCGUCUUCUGCAGGACGUGGUCCGGUGGCGGCUGUCGGCCAGAGUCCCUCUCCCGACACGGCUCUACGAAUGGCGCCGGAAUCAUUUUUUUUUUUCUGUGAAGUAGCCUGACUUCUUCUACAGGACGUGGUCCGGUGGCGGCUGUCGGCCAGAGUCCCUCUCCCGACACGGCUCUACGAAUGGCGCCGGAAUCAUUUUUUUUUCUGUGAAGUAGCCUGACUUCUUCUACAGGACGUGGUCCGGUGGCGGCUGUCGGCCAGAGUCCCUCUCCCGACACGGUUUGACGGAGGUACCCAGCUUUCACGAAGCCGGUGCAUUCACGGCAGUAACAUUUACCUGGCUACGCGGCGGCAGACUGGUGGGAUCGCCGUAGAAUGACUGUCGGCCACGUUGACGAGGUUCCCGGUCGUCGCGUCGCUCUGUGGAGCGGGGUCAGAAGAACGAUAUGGCGGACGUUCACCUGCGAUUGGCGGUCCGCGGCAAAACGAGUGUGAACGGUGGGACAGCUAAUGAGGCAACUCGACUCUGGAUGCUUGCAGAUCGUCUUUCGUGGGAAACUGAUUGCAAGGAUUGGGGCCGACGUUGCUGCCGUUCUGCUUGACGUUUUCCAGUCUCUUCUGUCUACUAGCAACGCCUAAUGGCUAACGGCGGCCCCUGGAUGACAUCGCGGCGCCCUCGGACCAGGACGGCAGCGGAGAGCUUGAGGCUGACGGCGGCCCCUGGAUGACAUCGCGGCGCCCUCGGACCAGGACGGCAGCGGAGCGCUUGAGGUGCCGCUCUGCAGUGCUCCGGAUUGAAGCAUGCGGCCUGGCGGCGGCCGAUCGGCACAGAGGUCGGGUAAGGUAACUGCAUUCACCAACUGUAUCAGAGCGUGGAGAGAAGUGGCAGUCGUCAGCUUCGAUUCAGUCUAAUAAAAGUUUUUUGUUUUAAAUAUGUCAAAAGUAUUGAAGUUGCUGUUUUUGCUUCAGAAAUUAUAGAUUAACUUUCCCAUGGCUUUAUUUUGUAGAAGUGACCAUAUGUAGCGGGAAAAUAUAUGGAUUUACUACGAUAUAACACUGUCAACAGUGUGUAUUUUCAGAAAAUAAACACCCAAUCGAUCGAG